rnacentral:rRNA from 1 species
GGAGGCUUGCUCCUGGAUUCAGCGGCGGUACUAGAAUGAGUAAUGCCUAGGAAUCUGCCUGGUAGUGGGGGAUAACGUCCGGAAACGGGCGCUAAUACCGCAUACGUCCUGAGGGAGAAAGUGGGGGAUCUUCGGACCUCACGCUAUCAGAUGAGCCUAGGUCGGAUUAGCUAGUUGGUGGGGUAAAGGCCUACCAAGGCGACGAUCCAUAACUGGUCUGAGAGGAUGAUCAGUCACACUGGAACUGAGACACGGUCCAGACUCCUACGGGAGGCAGCAGUGGGGAAUAUUGGACAAUGGGCGAAAGCCUGAUCCAGCCAUGCCGCGUGUGUGAAGAAGGUCUUCGGAUUGUAAAGCACUUUAAGUUGGGAGGAAGGGCAGUAAGUUAAUACCUUGCUGUUUUGACGUUACCAACAGAAUAAGCACCGGCUAACUUCGUGCCAGCAGCCGCGGUAAUACGAAGGGUGCAAGCGUUAAUCGGAAUUACUGGGCGUAAAGCGCGCGUACGUGGUUCAGCAAGUUGGAUGUGAAAUCACCCGGGCUCAACCUGGGAACUGCAUCCAAAACUACUGAGCUAGAGUACGGCUAGAGGGUGGUGGAAUUUCCUGUGUAGCGGUGAAAUGCAUAGAUAUAGGAAGGAACACCAGUGGCGAAUGCGACCACCUGGACUGAUUAUGACACUGAGGUGCGAAAGCGUGGGGGAGCAAACAGGAUUAGAUACCCUGGGUAGUUCACGCCGUAAACGAUGUCG